UAUGGGGACAUGUACUCAGAUGUUCCAAAGAAGUUAAUCUUGUGCAAGUGUUGUGCCGUUCUUGGUAAAGCUGCAGAUUGCUGUACUGUAAGAUUCCUUUGUUUAUUCUUUGUUAUAAAAACCCACUCUACUUUGGUUCAGGGCAUUCUGUCUCUGUCCUCUUUUCGGGACAUGUAGUGAGACCCAGCAUGCUUGGACAAUAUAUCCUGUGUGUGUUGCAUGAGAAAGUCUUUUGGAGUCUUCCUUCAUGGGCGGUGAGAGUCUUGACCCUAACAUUUGGAGGUUCCACAGAGAUCUGCUCUGCUGCUCCGGUCAUCUACACCAGGCUCUUCUCGGGAUUUAAGCUUCCUUUGACGAGGACCCACAGAAAAUGGGUGUAUUACACCUCACUGUGAGUAAGACAGCAAACAACUCUGUUCUUAUGGAGUCAAAAAGGACUUUCUACUCCUCCAGGGUCGAACCAUUUAAAAGUGAUAUCCCUCAGUCUAACUUAGACAGCAUCGAGGAAUCAAUCAGCCAUCUGGAAAAGUCUUUGACUUCCCUCUCGGAGGUAGUCCUCCAGAACUAUAGAAGACUGGACCUGCUCUUCCUCCGGAGUGGGGGACUAUGCGCGGCUCUUGGGGAAGAGUGCUGCAUCUAUGCGGAACACAAUGGAGUUAUCCAAGACUCCAUGACCAAGCUCAGAAAGAGACUAGAACACUGGAAAAAGGAGCGGGAGGCCAAGGAAAGUUGGUUCGAGUCCUGGUUCAAUCCACCCUCAUGUCCACACUCACGGGACCGCUGAUUCUCGUCUUUCUUUUGCUUACUGUCGGACCGUGCAUUGUAAACAAGCUAGUAGCAUUUGUUAGGGACCGCGUUAAUGCAGUUCAACUGCUGGUUCUGAGACAGCAAUACCAGCCUCUACUCCCCGCAGCUCCUAAGGAAGGACAUUCUUCAGUUUAGAGGCUGGGUAUAGAGAAAGAUAUGACAAAGAAAACGGGGGGAAUGUUAGGACAGGACAGCCACGGACUGGGCCAAGGACAAUGAAGAUAGUAAAGUUUCCACUCAGGUCUCUACUAUCUGCUUGUUCCAGGAGGAACUAUCUGCUUGUUCUGGGAGGAAUGUACAGGCCCCUGAGCUAUGAAACAGAUGGCUAUCAUGGGUCCGGGCUCAGCCCUCGGACCUGGAUAUCGCGUGAAGCCCGGAGCAGGCACUUACGUAAACUGUGACCUUCAAAUCUGCUGUAACAGCUGACUUGGGCCUAUAUAAGUAACCCCUGUACCUUGGGUUGGGGUCUGGCCUCUCACACAGGACCUGGGCAUUGCUGUGUGCAUGUGCACGACCCUAGCUAGCCAGCUUAAUAAACUGCCUGCUUGCUGGUUGCAUUCCUGUGUGGUCCUUGUCUGCGGUCAGAGAUCCAGAACCGUGCCCUAACAUCCCCGAGGAACUUGGCCCUGGAGCUCAGGAGCCAGACCCCCACGAGGAUGGUGGUUCAGAAAACUCAGGUUCUGCUGAGGAGGAAACUUCUGAUCACCCAGACCAGUCCGACUUGGACGAGGUCCCUGGCCAAAAAUAUCACUGCCUUAGCAUUAGACACCUUAAAGAAUUAAAAGCAGCAGUAACCCAGUAUGGACCCAUAGCUCCCUUUACUCUGGCACUCCUUGAUAAUCUUAGUGACUGCUGGCUGACACCUAAUGAUUGGUAUUUUUUGGCCUGGGCCACCUUGUUCAGAGGCGAUGAUGUCCAGUGGAGGACUGAGUUCAUUGAGAAUUGCAGGAAAACCGCCCAACAAAAUCUGGAUAAUGUAGCAUCUAAAAACUGGACUAGAGAUAAACUCUUGGGCCGCAGUCCAUAUGACACCAACGAUCGCCAGGCCCAUUUUCCCCUGGUCUCCUUGCUCAAAUUCAGUGUGCUGGUCUCAAGGCAUGGUAAUGCCUCCCCCCAAAGGAGUCUGCAACCACCUCUCUCAAGAAGCUGCAGCAGGUUGCAGAUGAACCCUAUAGCAGUUUC